UGAGGAAUAUUGGUCAAUGGGCGGGAGCCUGAACCAGCCAAGCCGCGUGAGGGAGGAAGGCCCUACGGGUCGUAAACCUCUUUUGCCGGGGAACAAAAGCGGGUAUGCAUACCCGUCUGAGUGUACCCGGAGAAAAAGCAUCGGCUAACUCCGUGCCAGCAGCCGCGUAUCUGUCUGU
rnacentral:rRNA from 1 species